UACGUAGGGUGCGAGCGUUAAUCGGAAUUACUGGGCGUAAAGCGUGCGCAGGCGGUUUGUUAAGUCAGAUGUGAAAGCCCCGGGCUCAACCUGGGAAUGGCAUUCGAGACUGCUCUGCUAGGGUGCGGAAGAGGGGAGCGGAAUUUCCGGUGUAGCGGUGAAAGUGACGUAGAUAUCGGAAGGAACACCAGUGGCGAAAGCGGCCCCCUGGUCCAGCACCGACGUUCAGGCACGAAAGCGUGGGGAGCAAACAGG
rnacentral:rRNA from 1 species